AUACGUAGGUGACAAGCGUUAUCCGGAUUUACUGGGCGUAAAGGGCGUGUAGGCGGUCUUGCAAGUCAGAAGUGAAAUUCCUGAGCUCAACUCGGGCGCUGCUUCUGAAACUGCAGGACUUGAGUGCUGGAGGGGAUAGCGGAAUUCCUAGUGGAGCGGUAAAAUGCGCAGAUAUUAGGAAGAACACCGGUGGCGAAGGCAGUUAUCUGAACAGUAACUGACGCUGAGGCGCGAAGGCGGGGGGAGCAAACAGGAUUAGAUACCCGGGUAGUCCACGCCGUAAACGAUGAAUACUAGGUGUGGGGGGACUGACCCCUUCCGUGCCGCAGUUAACACAAUAAGUAUUCCACCUGGGGAGUACGGCCGCAAGGCUGAAACUCAAAUGAAGUGACGGGG
rnacentral:rRNA from 1 species